AUAUGCCAGUCUGGAUAUACUGGAGAUGGAUUUAAUUGCCCAGAUGUUGACGAAUGUGUGUUAUCUUCACCAUGUAAUUCCAAUGCUAUGUGCAAUAACACACCUGGAUCUUAUAUCUGCAUAUGUAAUUCUGGAUAUAUAGGAGAUGGAUUUAAUUGCACAGAUGUUGACGAAUGCCUAACAUCUUC
rnacentral:lncRNA from 1 species